UACGGAAUGUGCAAACGUUAUUCGGAAUCACUGGGCUUAAAGAGUCCGUAGGCGGCAUGUUAGGUGAGGUGUGAAAUCCCCCGGCUCAACCGAGGAAUUGCGCUUCAAACCGGCGUGCUAGAGGAAGAUAGAGGUGGGCGGAACUGAUGGUGGAGCGGUGAAAUGCGUUGAUAUCAUCAGGAACACCGGAGGCGAAGGCGGCCCACUGGGCCUGACCUGACGCUGAGGAGCGAAAGCGUGGGGAGCGAACAGG
rnacentral:rRNA from 1 species